GGAACUCCAGUGAUGGGGGCAUUCCUUUUAUAGCUGCUGGGGUAGAGGAACAGAAACGUCGCGGAGAGAGAGAAGGGGAGCAGCGCGAAGGCCGGAAAGAAGCAAUGGAGUGCUCUGCCGUGGCGGCGAUUGAGCAAACAGGGCGGUGCCGCAGGACUCCGGGGGUGACGCCAGCGAUCAUUGCGCUAUACCGUCAGGGCGGCGUAGGCGCUGGUAGACCGGUGGUUGGGAUUUGGCGGAAAGCGGGCGUCGUCGUGCGGAAGAGGUGAUGGAAGCGACCGGUUAAACGGCGCUAGAAUCGAGGGUGCACAGGUGAGAAGACAGGCGAACGCGGGCGCGGGGGAGAGCGCGGAACAACAG
rnacentral:lncRNA from 1 species